rnacentral:rRNA from 1 species
AUUGAACGCUGGCGGCAGGCCUAACACAUGCAAGUCGGGCGCGCGGCGGACGGGUGUGUAAUGUAUGGGGCUCUGCCUUAUGGAGGGGGAUCACUACUGGACACGGUCUCUUAUACCGUAUACUCUCAUAUGCACCCAUAUGGGAUUAGCUUGUAGGUGUGGUAACGGCGCACCUAGGCGACGAUCCCUAGCUGGUCUGAGAGGAUGAUCAGCCAAACUGGGACUGAGACACGGCCCAGACUCCUACGGGAGGCAGCAGGGGGGAAUAUUGCACAAUGGGCGCAAGCCUGAUGCAGCCAUGCCGCGUGUAUGAAGAAGGCCUUCGGGUUGUAAAGUACUUUCAGUCGGGAGGCGUUACCGGCAGAAGAAGCACCGGCUAACUCCGUGCCAGCAGCCGCGGUAAUAC